rnacentral:rRNA from 1 species
GCAGUCGAACGGUAACAGGUUAAGCUGACGAGUGGCGAACGGGUGAGUAAUAUAUCGGAACGUGCCCAGUAGUGGGGGAUAGCCCGGCGAAAGCCGGAUUAAUACCGCAUACGACCUACGGAAGAAAGUGGGGGACCUUCGGGCCUCAUGCUUUUGGAGCGGCCGAUGUCUGAUUAGCUAGUUGGUGAGGUAAAGGCUCACCAAGGCGACCAUCAGUAGCUGGUCUGAGAGGACGACCAGCCACACUGGGACUGAGACACGGCCCAAACUCCUACGGGAGGCAGCAGUGGGGAAUUUUGGACAAUGGGCGCAAGCCUGAUCCAGCAAUGCCGCGUGAGUGAAGAAGGCCUUCGGGUUGUAAAGCUCUUUUGUCAGGGAAGAAACGGCCUGAGAUAAUACCUUGCGCUAAUGACGGUACCUGMAAAAUAACCACCGGCUAACUACGUGCCAGCAGCCGCGGUAAUACGUAGGGUGCAGCGUUAAU